AGAGUGUGUGAGCAACGAGGUGCAUGGCUCGCUGCACUUGAUUGGACGCACCUGAAGCCUACCGCACAUCAUCACAGUUUGUUCUACAUUUCCAUCAAGUGCUCCGAAACAGAGGAGGAUUUAGUGUAUUGAUCAAAGGCGCCUGUUGUUUUCAAGGAGAUGGUGGCCGCAUCCAACUUCCUGUGUUGUACUGAAUGCAGUGAAGAGCUUACUUCUCAAAUAUUGAUGAAGCACACUCUGUAGGAAUGCAGAUACGCAAUAUCAAUACCUUCCAGGUGUGUGCCAGAUUCAAUCCCACGACAGAAUCAAAUCACCUUUGGACCCGAAAAAAGCUCUGUGAUGUCUUCCCUAAGUGUUCGCACCUCUUACGAAAGCGCUCAAAGAUAAUCUCACAGUCUAUGGCUGGAUGAAAGAUGUCAUCAUAUUCCUACGCUACCAGAUGGCUACAUUACCCCAACACGACUUCCUCUAGAUACUUCAGUCCUUCUAGUACCCAUAUGUGGCACAGCAUCCCCUAAGACACUGGGACCCAUCUUGAGAGCAGCAGUAGAAGCUUGCAUGGCAAAGAGGAUUCGAUGGAGUAUUCAAGUGGCGCUAGCUAUUAUAUUAAGGCAAUAGUCAAACUACUUCUCCUUCUUCUCUACCGUUUCUGUCUUUCCAAGCUAGGGGCAUGUUCACUUUCUCUCAUUCUGUCCCUCAGUAGGAGGCUUGUUCUUCCUGUAUAUCACACUGGGUGAUGAAGCACUGAAAUAGAGCAGGUGAUGGUGGCUGACGUCUAAACUUCAUUCCCUUGGGCACUGCAAUGAGAAACAUUAAGAGCCACACUUGUUUAUUCACUUUACGUUUGCAUCAAACUCUAUAUCACGUGUCAAACCAGUGGGACUCUUGCUGAUGACCAUUCCACAGAAAGAUCGACUGAUGGGAAUUGUUUGAAUGGAAUGAGGUCACGAUGAGGGGAAAACCACAAUUGACAGAGGAAAUACCACUGUGCAAAGAGCAUGUCAGUAAAAGACAGACUUCAUUAGGACUACAACCCCCAUUCUGUCUCCAGAGCUUAUGGCCCAGUUGCUUCAGCAGAUCCCUAUUCAACAGAGCCUCAGCCUGCCAUCUGAAGACACCGCAGUGUGCCAAGCUUCUCGAAAUAUCUCCUCACCAGGGAAAUGACUCUGCCUGUCAACCUGAGAAACCAAUGUUCCCCUCAAGCCCAGACACAUUCUCAAAAUAGUUUUGCUUUCUUCAGAAGAACAAAAAGAGCGUUUUCUGUGAUUCUGCCUGGCAUUAAAGUUUAGCCCCGUGGCAGACACAAUGGGCACGAGCAAUGAACGGUGUGCAGCGACAAAAAGACAAUCAUUCGGAAAAGACUGAAGUCUGGGACGUCUCAAUCCUCAGUCGUUUGCAUUUCAGUGUUUUUUUCUUCUCAAGUGCAUCAUAAAUCUGUGGAUUUUAAAUCUGGAUUCUGCACUUUUCCACUUUCUGCCCUUCAAAAAUUAGGCCAAUUCCUGGCGUUCUCUAGACACCGGAUUGAUGUGGUUAAGAUGAUGGGCUAAGAGUGGACACAAGCACUCUUGUGUGUGUUUUUCAAGGGGAAAUGGUGGGGGGUGAAGUGUGCUCAGAGAGAUGACACAUCUUACAGGCUGACACCCAGCCCAGCUGAGGCAGACACCUGCACUUCCUCAUCCGUGGGGCUCAUCAGCAGUCCGUGAUUACGUCGCGUUAGCCUGCUUUGCCGCUGACGUGACCAGACUGCCAAUGGAGCCUGUUGUCCUAUCAGGGUAUCGGAGCUCAUCUGUGGCACACUAUCGCCAAGGACUCUCAAUGUGAGAAGCGCCAUCAGGCUCCCACUCCACUGCACAUCUGUCUGUAACAGCCUGUUUGUUUUAGACAGUCUGGAAUUAAAGGACAUUAAAUACAAUGAUUUUUGCCCUGUUGAUUCAGAGCCUGUGAGAGUGUCCUCUAGCUGUGAUAUAGGUUCUGCAUCAUUCAAACCCUAAUCACGCCACUGAUAAUUUUCUUUCACCCCUCAUCAAUUGCCUGUUUUUACACCUCUCCUGUUAUUUGCUCAAGGAACACGUAGGCCAUGAGUGGUCACCUAUAAACAUCACUUCUUCUUUCACAUGUAUGGCACGGUCAUAAUAGAGCGAUAUGAAGGGAUUGAUUGGUGCAGCACAGGGAGCAUAGUUGAGUGAAGAACACAGAAUAGAAAUUAAUUAACCAGAGUCUGGUCAGUCAAUAAUUACUUCUCAAUUUCCCCUCCAAUGGUACAUAUCAAAGGCUGGCGACAUGCACUAUGGGGAUGUGUGCCAUUCAGAAUUGAAUUAAGUAUGCCCUUUGGAUUCCUGUAUUUGAAUCAAGGUAGCAAACAGGACUGAGAAAUGCUGUUCCAAUGUGAAUAUGAGUAGAAUUUAAAAUUAACUAAAUUCACAUUCAAAUAACUAAUGUUUAAUUGGAAAAACAAUGUUUUUUUAAAAAAAAUAUUGAGUUUAGAUAUUAAAAUAUAGCCUAUAUCUAGAUAG